rnacentral:rRNA from 1 species
CGAACGGGUGAGUAAUGCGUGACCAACCUGCCCCAUGCUCCAGAAUAGCUCUUGGAAACGGGUGGUAAUGCUGGAUGCUCCAACUUGACGCAUGUCUUGUUGGGAAAGUGUUUAGUGGCAUGGGAUGGGGUCGCGUCCUAUCAGCUUGUAGGCGGGGUAAUGGCCCACCUAGGCUUCGACGGGUAACCGGCCUGAGAGGGCGGACGGCCACAUUGGGACUGAGAUACGGCCCAGACUCCUACGGGAGGCAGCAGUG